rnacentral:misc_RNA from 1 species
GCAGCGUCAGAUGUGUAUAAGAGACAGGUGAGUCAUCGAAUCUUUGAACGCACAUUGCGCCCUCUGGUAUUCCGGGGGGCAUGCCUGUUCGAGCGUCAUUAUGACCAAUCACGCAAGUGGUAUUGGGGCUUGCCAGCUUUCGGCAUCCCUUAAAAACAGUGGCGGUGCCAUAGGCUCUCAGCGUAGUAAUUAUUCCGCUCUUGAGUCCUGGACGUACUUGCCAAAACCCCAACUUUCUUAAGGUUGACCUCGGAUCAGGUAGGGAUACCCGCUGAACUUAAGCAUAUCAAUAAGCGGAGG